rnacentral:rRNA from 1 species
UACGGAGGAUGCAAGCGUUAUCCGGAAUGAUUGGGCGUAAAGCGUCCGCAGGUGGUGAUGUAAGUCUGCUGUUAAAGAGUGAGGCUCAACCUCAUAAGAGCAGUGGAAACUACAUAGCUAGAGUGCGGUAGGGGCAGAGGGAAUUCCUGGUGUAGCGGUGAAAUGCGUAGAGAUCAGGAAGAACACCGGUGGCGAAAGCGCUCUGCUAGGCCGCAACUGACACUGAGGGACGAAAGCUAGGGGAGCGAAUGGG